rfam:Helianthus annuus linkage group 1, whole genome shotgun sequence.
CUAUGUAUAGCGGAGCUGAGCAAUGGUUAACCUCCCUUCGGAGCGAUACAAAGAAGAUUAGCAUGGCCGUGCACAAGGAUAACACACGCAAGUCGAUAAAUGGUUCCAAAUUUGU